UCGGCCGGGCUUGUUUGUUUUAGGAUUGGUGUUUCGUCGUUGACUAGUGACAGCUGCUGUGUGGCCGGUCGGACAGUUGAGAUUCUCCUUCUAGAUUCGGAACACAUGGAUCAAUAAUGGAGCUUUGCUUACUAACGUAAACCGAGUUUUGGCAUUAGCUUCCGCUGUUUGCUAACGUUAGCUCCUGAGCACCACGGAGCUUCACGACAAAAAUAAAGGACUGGUUCCCGGUGUGCAACAUACGUGCCGAACGAGAGAUGGUGUCCAGUAAAUUGGACUUCAUUAAAUUUAAUUGGCUGAACAAUUUCUAAAAGUUUGCAUUAAAUCAGAAUAUUUCCAGUGGUUCACGUUAGUAAAACGUUGGUUCCGUUGACGUGUUUCCAGUCGGACGCAACAACAUGGAGCAAACGGUAGUUAUCCGGCUCGAGGGACGAGGUUUGGUGAAGAAUAAUCCAGAUCAUUGAUAAUGGAUUAAUGAGUAUUAUUUACUCCGGAGAAGCGGCGACCUGCGCCUCGGCAUGGAGCCGGCCCACAGAGCUCUGCUGCGGACACACAGGCUGUAUCUGUCCGGCCAGCUGCUGGUCUCCGACGGCAUCGUUCCGCUCCUGUACCAGGAGGACAUCCUGUCGGCCCGCCAGGUGGAGGACAUCGAGGCCCAGCCCACCAGCACCCUCAGGUGCCUCCGGCUGCUGGACCUGCUGCCGGCCCGCGGGCCCCGGGCCUUCCACUGCUUCCUCAGGUCUCUGGAGGACUUCGACUGGGUCCGAGACAAGCUGCUGCUGGAGCUCCAGACGGGACCGGGACCGGGACCGGGACCGGGACCCAGCGCCUCAGACCUCCGGCUCCCGGACUCGGUCCUGCAGCAGGUUCCUUCGGACCGGGUCUUGUCCCGCCUGGUGUCCCGGCUCGGCUCCGAGUGGGAGCCGGUUCUGAUGGAUCUGGGUUUGUCUGCGGAGGACUUGUUCCGGUGUAGAUCUGAUCACCGUCUCAGUACUCACGGGGCGGUUAUGGCCGGUCUGGUUCGGUGGAGACAAUUAGGAGGGAAGACCGCCACGGUCCAGAGACUCCUGAGGAGUCUGCAGGACGCCGGAGUCCACCCGUCUGUCCUGGAGGACGUCCUGCUGUGACCCCGUGUUAUCUUCACAAGCAUCUCCACUGUCUCUUUAAGGACCUCUUAACAUGUCUACUGUCUCUUUAAGGAUCUCUUAACAUCUCUACUGUCUCUUUAAGGACCUCUUAACAUGUCUACUGUCUCUUUAAGGACCUCUUAACAUGUCUACUGUCUCUUUAAGGAUCUCUUAACAUGUCUACUGUCUCUUUAAGGACCUCUUAACAUGUCUACUGUCUCUUUAAGGACCUCUCAACAUCUCUACUGUCUCUUUAAGGACCUCUUAACAUGUCUACUGUCUCUUUAAGGACCUCUCAACAUCUCCUGUCUCUUUAAGGACCUCUCAACAUCUCUACUGUCUCUUUAAGGACCUCUUAACAUCUCCACUGUCUCUUUAAGGACCUCUUAACAUGUCUACUGUCUCUUUAAGGACCUCUUAACAUGUCUACUGUCUCUUUAAGGACCUCUCAACAUCUCUACUGUCUCUUUAAGGACCUCUUAACAUGUCUACUGUCUCUUUAAGGACCUCUCAACAUCUCUACUGUCUCUUUAAGGACCUCUCAACAUCUCUACUGUCUCUUUAAGGACCUCUCAACAUCUCUACUGUCUCUUUAAGGACCUCUUAACAUGUCUACUGUCUCUUUAAGGACCUCUCAACAUCUAUACUGUCUCUUUAAGGACAUCUCUACUGUCUCUUUGUGUACUAUUAUAUUUCAUGUGUAUAUAUUUCCUGUGCUUCACCGAAACCUGGCUCGGUGCGCACAUCCCGGACAGCGCACUGCAUCUGUCGGGCUUCCAACUCCACCGAGCGGACCGCGUAACGGCUCUGUCGGGGAAAACGAAGGGAGGCGGAAUCUGCUUUUAUAUCAAUGAAGGCAGAAACUAAAAUCUGCAAAGCCUGUGGUGAAGACUGUGAAGAGAUGGACCAACGAGGCCAAGCUGGAGCUACAGUCCUGCUUUGCCUCCACUGAUUGGAGUGUUUUUGAGGCUGCUGCUACAGACCUGGAUGAGCUAACUGACACUGUGACAUCAUAUAUCAGCUUUUGUGAGGACA